AUGGAGCUGAAAAUUGAAAUGCAGUCGUCAGGACCGGAAUUAUGGUAUGACUAUCGCUACGUGCAUUCAGUAACUGUGUGAUGAAAGAACGGGUUUUACUAGUUACUGAUGAAUAAACGUGGCCUUCAUCCAACACUCAAGAACCAAAUAAGUAGUCAAAACGGUAGUCCAGGUGUACCCUGAUCAUCCUAGGUCACAUGACUAAAGGAAACCCGAAAUUAUGUUUAUCUUUUGGGCACUACAUGGCAGUACACUCCACCUGAAGAUCCAUGAAAAGGAACAAGGAUGAUAAAUAAUAAGUAAAUGAAGAUUGGAAAUGAAAAAAAAUAGAGAAAUAGUAAUUUUUCUGGACUUCAUGUUAAGUUUAACUUUUGGACACUGCAUGGCAGUAUGCUCUAACAGAACAUCUACGAAAACCAACAAAUGUGAUAAAUACAAACUAAAUAAAGUUGGAAAUGAAUAAAAUAGAGAAGGUGGAGGGUUUCUAUACUGAACAUAAUUGCAGAACCAUGGUCGUGAAUAAACGAUGUACUUGUGAAUCGCACAAUUGUCUUGUUUUUCCUCAG